CAAUUAAAAUUAGUGGGAAGCACCGGGUUCUGAGGAAUUCCACAUUCACUAAACAGAGCAACUGCUUAUUUCAGCACUGUGCAAAAACCAAUAAACACCCAAACCCAGAUGUCGCUGGAUUGUGGCCCAUGUUAAUUGGCAGGAGGCAAGGAGGACAUUGUUGUGGAUUUUCUGUUUAAAGCCACAAAAACGCUUAAGCAGCCAUGACAGGGCCAGCCCAUUCUUAUUAGACAGCCAAGCUGCAGUUUCUCAUUUUCCAGAAUCUGCACUCAGAGCUGGACUGUCAGACAAAUGCAUAGACAGCAGUGCUAAAAUGGAGGUGCAGACCCUUUUUUUCAGAUUAAGGACCACAUUUCCUUCUGGGCAACUUUCCAUUGGUGGGCUGGGCCAGAAACAAUACUGUGUGGAGCAAUGAAUGCAAAUGUUCUUUAUCUUCUUUGGCAAUCACUCAUAGCUGAGUAAGAUUGUCUUCCAUAAACAUGGUUUUAACAAUGAGUCCGUAAGGGACUGUGGAGGGCACAUUGGUUUCCGGGCAGGAGUUGAUCACGGUGUGGAUUUGCCAAGCGUGCCUUCCUCUAAGGACAUUUCUCCCUUGCGUCCUGAGUUCGAGUGUCUUCAAAACCCAUGACACCUUUGGUAAAGGCUGUUCUCCAACUGGUGUUUCCCAGUUGUCAGUGUUUAUACUACUUUUUUUAGAUUUGCCUUGAGACAGUCUUUAAACCACUUUUGUUGACCACCAGCAUUACGCUUUCCAUUUUUAAGUACACAUGCUCACUCCCCACCUUGAGACACCAGUGAAGACCAGUGAAGGGUGUGGCUUGGAGAGAGCCCAAGUGCCAAAUAGAGAACCUUGGGUGCUUGUGUUUGUCUUUCAGGCCAGAGGUUCCACACCCCUGUGUUGCCCAAUUUUUGGUACCAAUGGCAUGACCCUUCUCCAGAGUACCCCAGUGAGAUUACAUCCCUUGGCACAAUACCCUCAAGCCUCUGUCCAGUGCCCAUAGCACCAGUGAUAUUGUGAGGAACAAAGAAAGUAACAUAAGUGGGGAGAAGAGUGAGAGAGAGAUGUUUGCACAGUGAGGACUAGAAUCUUGAAAUGUAGACGUGAAAUGUGAGAGGGAAGGAACCAGAGAAGUUUUAGGCUGUUGCAGCAGAAGCUAAUGCAAGAGUUUCCCUGCAUCUUGAAGCAAAUGUUUCAUGCCAGUAGCUUUUAAAGAGAAAAGGCUUGUUGAGGAGAAAGAGCCAGGAAAGCUAAGAAGAGAGACCACAGUUGUGGAGAUCAGAGGAAAGAUUUAGAAGCAGGAAAGGGUCCCUUUAGGUGGCAAAAAGGUGCUAUAUUGAUAAACAGCUACAUGGAAAAGCCAUCUUCUACCUUGUAAUGUGAGACUGAUGUCCCUUCCAGGCAUCGACCCAAAGCUUUUGGGAGUGCCCUGGAGAGAUUUGUAGUCAUCCCAGGUUCCUGAAAGGGAACAAAUGGAAACAAUCUUGUAUGACUUUCACUUUGAAUUCUGGAGAAACGUUCCCUCUUUAAUUUCUGCCUGUUGUGCAACUAUUAAAGGCUUAGGAGUGCUGACUGAAAAAUCACUAACUGACAUUUUCGUGUUCCUCAGAUUCUUCACAGUCUACAUCUUCAGAUCCAAAGAUGAGAGGUACUGUAUAUAUUUUGAAUAGUACCUCAGAAGUUAGAUUUUUAGAGUAUUCACAUCUCUCAGUGAAUAACAUUCUCAAAGCAAUUCUGGAAUAUCUGUAGACUUUAUUCUUAAUUGCAAAUGUUCACUUGUGUUCAGAAGAGAUAAAUAUGCUGUUUGGUUAAUCAACCUUCCUGCACUCUAAAUUUGUUUCUUUGCUGAAUCAUUGCUCAAUUUUUCUUUCCCUGCCAUUGGCUUUUACAGCAAUUUCAAAACAGUUUUCUUCCUUCCUAGAUAUGAGAUGGAAUCUAACCAAACAAGCCUCCACACAACACAACCAACUUGCACCCCCUUGCAGCCUUUAUGGCACUUACAUACCCAUACACACACACACACCCACACACACACACAUUGCCAACUUGAAAAUGAUGCCUGUUCUUAGCUAGGCCUUUCUGCAAACCCAGAUCAGACCAUGCACCUUUAAAAAUAAAAUAAUGAAAAUUGAGGUGGGAAAUGACGCCAAUCCCCAAACCGUUUUGUCACUCUGGCUUUGGGUGUGGCUGAGUUGCUUAACUUCUCAUCCAGCAACGGCUUUUCUUGGCUGGAAAUGAGCCCUGGAUGAGAAAUUUGCUGACUCUGCCAGUCUGGGCCAACUUUUUGCAAAGACCUGGAAGCCUUUGGGAAUCUUCUUACACGCAUUGAUACUGAAUAAAUGGGGCUGUGUCCAACCUUAAGUCAUUCUCAGAGUAGGCCAUUAACUUUGAUGAAUCUACCACUAUUGAGUAAAAAGUUGGAUGCAACAGAUUCACCAAGGAUAUACUGUAUACCACCUCUUUCCCACAUAAAGGGAUGGAUAAAUCUUGUCAGUUUCUUAUUCAGUCGUAAAUUCAGUUUGCAACAUUUCCACAUCAGUUUACCAUUUUUUUAAAAGGUAAUCACAAAAAAUUGUCAAUAUUUAGUGUGUAUUUCUCAUAAUAUACAUUUUUUUAAAAAAAAUAGCUUUUGCCUAAUAUAGACACUUUUGCAAGCACAUUUCCCUAACCUAAUGCCUUUUAGUCUGCAAUUUUAAUGAAUGCCCCCUGAUAUUCACAUUUUUUAACCCAUUGCAGAACUGCAGCACAAAAUUUGUAUAAGUGCAAAUCUUGCAGCGUAGAUGUGGGUAUUGGGGUUGACGUAUUGCUCCAGGAAGUGCAAAUCUGUAAUAAAAUCCAAACUAAACCAAACUAUCCCCCUCAAACACAACACCCAAAGCCACUUUGUUUCUUCGUUACCUCAUCCUUUGGUGAGGAAGUGGCCAGUGUCCUAAUGUCUUUAAAAAGAGUGUGGGUGGGGAAACUGAGGCACGUAAUGAAAGAGUUCUCUGGAAUUUCUCUCUCUCACUGGCACUUCAUGUAAUCCAGGAAAAUGUCUCGUAAUCGGUCUGUUUUUGUCGCUGCGGUACAUGGCAUCCCAGCUGCAACUGUCACAAAAACCGGGAAGGGGUAGGGCUUGCAUUUGCUGCAAAGAAGUUGUAAUGGCAGUUAUAUCCCCGCCACCCUUUCCUCAAUUUAAAUUCUGUGCUUCUACUCCUCAAAGAACAAUUUCCACUAUUUGCUACCUGCCAUUACAACAAAACAGUUGUAGUUGCCAUUUAUUCAUGAGACAACUAGUUCCUCAGCUCGGUUUUGCUGGAAGGGAUAUAUUAACUUAUCAUUGGAUUUAUUUUUGUUUUAAUCAAAUAUUCCAGCUAGGUAAUAGCUAGGUUUUCCUGUGUAUAUGUUGUAAAUAAAUAAAAUAAUAUAAAAUAAAAAUAAAACAGGUAUAUUUUUUUUCCUGAGGAAACUGCAUACAGGUAGCAAAUUAGUUUUGCCAGCUUCAAAAGAGCCAUGCUUGCACUGCUGACAUUUUUUUUUUAAAAAAACACCUAGGCGUUUUAUCAUUUGUAAAGCUGUAGAAACAUCAAACAAAUGUAACUGAUAAGCGCUUGGCGGCUGACCUGUGUUAAAGGAAAACGACAUUGAUGACAAAUGAAGAGAGGAAAGGGAAGAUGAAGAUAAAGACCGU